rnacentral:misc_RNA from 1 species
ACAAACUUGGUCAUUUAGAGGAAGUAAAAGUCGUAACAAGGUCAUCGUAGGUGAACCUGCGGUGGGAUCAUCAGUAGAACAACACAUAUCCCAUGUGCGAACAGUUAAGAAGAACACUUAGGCGCGGCAGUCGGGAGGGAGUGGGUGCAGCAAUGGGCCGCGACGGCUUGAGACCGCCACGCACACUAGUGUGUGUGUGUGGUUUCGCCUGAGCAUGCAAGCCCUGUGCCGCCCGCCGCCCGCGCGCGCCGACCAACACACAAACAACACGAAUUAUUAACACAAUUUGCUGGUUGAAAACAACACAAACUAAACACAACUAUCAAUGGUGGAUCACUUGGCUCUUGCAUCGAUGAAGAACGCAGC